rnacentral:rRNA from 1 species
UACAGAGGGUGCAAGCGUUGUUCGGAAUUAUUGGGCGUAAAGCGCGUGUAGGCGGCUUAACAAGUCGGGCGUGAAAGCCCUCGGCUCAACCGAGGAAGUGCACCCGAAACUGCUGAGCUUGAGUGCCGGAGAGGAUGGCGGAAUUCCCCAAGUAGAGGUGAAAUUCGUAGAUAUGGGGAGGAACACCGGUGGCGAAGGCGGCCAUCUGGACGGUAACUGACGCUGAGACGCGAAAGCGUGGGUAGCAAACAGG